CCUACGGGUGGCUGCAGUGGGGAAUAUUGGACAAUGGGGGGAACCCUGAUCCAGCCAUGCCGCGUGUGUGAAGAAGGCCCUCGGGUUGUAAAGCACUUUCAGUGAGGAAGAACGCCUGGUGGUUAAUACCCAUCAGGAAAGACAUCACUCACAGAAGAAGCACCGGCUAACUCCGUGCCAGCAGCCGCGGUAAUACGGAGGGUGCGAGCGUUAAUCGGAAUUACUGGGCGUAAAGCGCGCGUAGGUGGCUUGAUAAGCCGGUUGUGAAAGCCCCGGGCGCAACCUGGGAACGGCAUCCGGAACUGUCAAGCUAGAGUGCAGGAGAGGAAGGUAGAAUUCCCGGUGUAGCGGUGAAAUGCGUAGAGAUCGGGAGGAAUACCAGUGGCGAAGGCGGCCUUCUGGACUGACACUGACACUGAGGUGCGAAAGCGUGGGUAGCAAACAGGAUUAGAUACCCUAGUAGUC
rnacentral:rRNA from 1 species